rnacentral:ncRNA from 1 species
AUCAUUACAUUAAAGUAUAAUAAUUUAAGGUUUUAAAAUUUAUUUAAAUUAAUUUACAUAUGAAUUUUAGUGUUAAUUUAAUUAUAUUUAAAUAAUAUUUUGAUUAAAUAAGUAGUAAUUAAUAUUAAUAUAUUUAAGAAAUUAAGAUUUAGUAAUAUAGAAAUUAUUAACAAAUUUUGUGCCAGCAGUUGCGGUUAAACAAAAGUUAAUAUAAAUUUUAUUAGUAAUUAAUUAAUAAAUUAGUUAUAUAAAUUAUAAAAAUUAGAUUAUUAGGUGAAAUUUUAAUUUAUUAAAAUAUUAUAUUAAUUUUAUGAUUUAAUAAAUUAUAUAAAAACUAGGAUUAGAUACCCUAUUAUUAUAAAUUAAAGUUAAAGUACUAAAAUAAUAAGUAAUUAUUUAUUGAAAUUUAAUUAAGUUGGCGGUAUUUUAGUUCAUUUAGAGGAAUCUGUUUAAUAAUUGAUAAUCCACGAUUAAAUUUACUUAAUUUUUAAUUUUGUAUAUCGUUGUUAAAAAAAUAUUUUAUUAAGAAUAAUAAUAUUUAAAAUUUUAAUUAAGAAAUUAAAUCAGAUCAAGAUGCAGAUUAUAAUUAAGAAUAUAAUGGAUUACAAUAAAUUUAUUUAAAUGAAUAUUAAUUUGAAAUAAUUAAUUGAAGGUGGAUUUAAAUGUAAUUUUAUUUAUUAUAAUAAAAUGAUUAAAAAUUGAAGUAUGUACAUAUUGCCCGUCGCUUUCAUAUACAUUAAUAUAUUAAUUUUAAUAUUAAAUUGAAAUAAGUCGUAACAAAGUAGAGGUACUGGAAAGUGUUUCUAGAAAGA